AGAGCGAACGCUGGCGGCAGGCUUAACACAUGCAAGUCGAGCGCCCCGCAAGGGGAGCGGCAGACGGGUGAGUAACGCGUGGGAACGUACCUUUUGGUUCGGAACAACACAGGGAAACUUGUGCUAAUACCGGAUAAGCCCUUACGGGGAAAGAUUUAUCGCCGAAAGAUCGGCCCGCGUCUGAUUAGCUAGUUGGUGAGGUAACGGCUCACCAAGGCGACGAUCAGUAGCUGGUCUGAGAGGAUGAUCAGCCACAUUGGGACUGAGACACGGCCCAAACUCCUACGGGAGGCAGCAGUGGGGAAUAUUGGACAAUGGGCGCAAGCCUGAUCCAGCCAUGCCGCGUGAGUGAUGAAGGCCCUAGGGUUGUAAAGCUCUUUUAACGGGGAGAUAAUGACGGUACCCGUAGAAUAAGCCCGGCUAACUUCGCGCCAGCAGCCGC
rnacentral:rRNA from 1 species